UACAUUUCUGGGUUCUACUUCACUCCUAUUGUUUUCAAUGCUCCCAACCCUGUCUCAGUCAUCAUCCGAUCUUUAUUUAAUAAACUGUACUUUCGUAAAUGUUUCUUGAUUAUUCCAAGCUUAGAUAAAAAUAGGUAAAAGAUGUUGCCCUUCCCUGAGCAAUGUACCUCCUAAUGCGCUGGUACAUGGUACCAAAGCGCCUUUACAAGAUUUAU